GGAGGGCUGUAGCUUAGCAGUAUAGCAGCUGCCUGGCACGCAGAAGGACAUGGGUUCAAUCCUUGGCAUCUCCA
rnacentral:tRNA from 1 species